GUCGUCAGCUCGUGUCGUGAGAUGUUGGGUUAAGUCCGUAACGAGCGCAACCCUUGUCCUUAGUUACCAGCACGUUAUGGUGGGCACUCUAAGGAGACUGCCGGUGGCAAACCGGAGGAAGGUGGGGGAUGACGUCAAGUCAUCAUGGCCCUUACGGCCUGGGCUACACACGUGCUACAAUGGUCGGUACAAAGGGUUGCCAAGCCGCGAGGUGGAGCUAAUCCCAUAAAACCGAUCGUAGUCCGGAUCGCAGUCUGCAACUCGACUGCGUGAAGUCGGAAUCGCUAGUAAUCGUGAAUCAGAAUGUCACGGUGAAUACGUUCCCGGGCCUU
rnacentral:rRNA from 1 species